AGCGACUAAGCGUACACGGUGGAUGCCCUGGCAGUCAGAGGCGAUGAAGGGCGUGCUAAUCUGCGAUAAGCGCCGGUAAGGUGAUAUGAACCGUUAUAACCGGCGAUACCCGAAUGGGGAAACCCAGUGUGACUCGUCACACUAUCAUUAACUGAAUCCAUAGGUUAAUGAGGCGAACCGGGGGAACUGAAACAUCUAAGUACCCCGAGGAAAAGAAAUCAACCGAGAUUCCCCCAGUAGCGGCGAGCGAACGGGGAGGAGCCCAGAGCCUGAAUCAGCAUGUGUGUUAGUGGAAGCGUCUGGAAAGGCGCGCGAUACAGGGUGACAGCCCCGUACACAAAAGCGCAUGUGCUGUGAGCUCGAUGAGUAGGGCGGGACACGUGGUAUCCUGUCUGAAUAUGGGGGGACCAUCCUCCAAGGCUAAAUACUCCUGACUGACCGAUAGUGAACCAGUACCGUGAGGGAAAGGCGAAAAGAACCCCGGCGAGGGGAGUGAAAAAGAACCUGAAACCGUGUACGUACAAGCAGUGGGAGCACCCUUUGGGGUGUG
rnacentral:rRNA from 1 species